CUUUUUUUGAAGCUGAAAUCUUUUUGAUUUCCAUCUUAAAAUUUUGUUUACAAUUUAAAAUCAAGUUUUUCACUAUAUUCAAUGUUUUGUUGGUUAGUGAAGUAUAGUAAUGGUAAGCUUUUAGAUGAUGGACAGAGUCAAGUAAAUGGUUCAAGACAGAUCGCCUUUUAAAAGACUGUAAAAGGGCCAAGGUUGAUGAUGAGGAGAUGAAGACGAUGAUUUUUCCCUCUAAGAUGAGUCUUGUGGAUAGAGUAUCUUAAGACAUGAGUAAGACAAUGAAGAAAGAGAAGAAAACCAAAUUAAUGGUCCUGUUUGUUUACGAGUUCAUUGAAAAUUGACUCCUGUCAACCAUAUGAGAGUUGGUAUAUUUACAUCUCACUGUGCAGUCAAGAAACAUGAAGGAAAAGAGGACACGCGUUCGCGUGUCUACCUCACCAAUGUCUUUCAACCUCUGGCUCGUGUCACAGGAAAGUUAACGAAUCAAAUUGACUCAGCAAUCAAGUGAGGACUCCUAACAAUAACAAACAAGAGACCUGAAUGUCUUGAAGGAAGGAGAAAGUCUAAGAGUAUCAAUAAAAUACUUCCGUUUGGUAUCUUCUUUCCGCUUUCCGUUACUCUUUAUCACCAAAAAAAGCUGGAUGACCUCUUCAACUUUACCGUAGACAAGUGAGGCAAAGAGUAACGACCCUUCGAUGAAAUGGAUUGUACGAGCAAUGAUAAAUCCUUCCUUUCGACCAUAAGGUUACAAGUGUUUUCCUGUUGUUAUUGCAAACUGAUAUUUCGUCUUCACUCAUCUUUUCAAACAUUUCAACCUGACCCAGCCCGAUUCUAGAUUCAUUAGCAUCAUUGGAAUCAUUGCUUGUUUAUAAAUCUGUUUCCAUUAUAUGGAAAUAGUGGAAAAUUGUUUAUUUACAAAAGACCACAGACCUUUUUGACCUUCAUCAACAUGCGUUCCCAUCUGGGUUGAUUAACGUUAUAUAAAUAAUAUAAACGUUUUCUUCUCUCACCCGAUUUCUUGGUAACCAUUUUUGAUAAAAAUUACUGCUUCAUUUUCAUCUCUUUCUUGCCAUCUUUCUAGCCACUGAUGUUAAUAAAGAUGAUGAUCAACAAAAGGAAUUACAAGCACCAAUGGAACAAAAAAUAACCAAAAAGCAAAGAAAAUAAUUUGCAGAUAACGGGGGUGAAACUAAAUUGACCGAACCAGGACCAGAUCUCUAAACAUUUAGCUCAUAAGCAACAUUCAUGCUUUGCAAACUUGCAGCUAAAAAAUCUUAUCUCAACCUGAACUUCUUUGUGUCUGGUAAAGCCUAAAAUCUAUCAUCUUUACCUAUCCUCGUGUCCAAUAAUUUAAAGAGGAAACAUCGUUUUACUCGUUAUUUACUUUCUUGGUAAAACAAAUUGACUGCGAAUCAAGAGCAAUUAACUGUUGAAACUGUUCAUUCUUCCUGGUGAUUUUAACACAUUUGAAUAUACAUUUCGACUGAACUUCAAAGCUAACAACAUGAUCUUAUGAAAACAACAAAUUUAAAAGACGACUUGCAGAUAAAGACUUAAGACAAAUUUCAGACGUGAACAUUUAAAAUGAACUUUCAAUGGUAGUCUGUCAGUGACUUGUAAAUUACAUUUUCCUUUAAACCGUUAACGAUUAAUAUUACCUUCUUUUUUCACCCAAUUGUGAAAACAAAAAUUACACUAACCUAAUCCCUUGAAAGUUUCCCAAAAAAGCUCAAAUCGACAAGUGAGACGAACAAAUGUGAACCAAAGAUGAUGGUAAUGAUAAAGUUGAAAGGGAAACAAAUUCUGAAAGCAUUCAAAGACCAAGUUUAAGGCUAUUUUGGCUGCAACGUUAAAUCAUUUGGACUGGAUUUAUCGAAAUACAAUACAAAUCUUUGGAAUGGGAAGGUUGCUCAAAGUUUCCAUUUCUUCUUCUAGCAUCAAAGCCAAAGUCAAAGGAAUGGAACCGUUAUUAUAUUUCCCUGUGAAAUGUUUCAAUGUCAACUUUUGCAUUAUUUUCAUUUGCUAUUACGUCAAGAUGAAAGACAAUAUUGUUUCAGUGCAAGAGCAAAGUCCUCAACUUUGCUCGUAUUUUGGCUUUUACGAAAUACCGAUUAUGCAGAAAUCUGGAAACCCCAAUCUCUGGCAACUUUAAUUGACUUUGUUAAUUUUAAUCAGUCGUUUAAAAACAAAAUAAGAACAUUUUAAUCAACUUUUGUGUAUGAAAAAGUUGUCAUAAAUUAAAAUGGAAAUCAGAAGAUUAAGUGAAAUUAUUUCAUGGGAUUAUUGAUUGUAAUACUAAAUAAGCAAUUUGAUUUUGAAACAAGUUGUAUCAUUAUUAAUAAAGGCUGAAAAUGUGAAUACUUUUAGUAUUCCUUUAAACCUUUCUAUUGUCAGAUGAUUGUGGCUUCAAAAACUGAGUUCAAGGGUUA